rnacentral:rRNA from 1 species
CGAUGAAGCCUAGCUUGCUGGGUGGAUUAGUGGCGAACGGGUGAGUAACACGUGAGUAACCUGCCCUUGACUCUGGGAUAAGCCUGGGAAACUGGGUCUAAUACUGGAUAUGACUGCUCCGCGCAUGCGGUGGUGGUGGAAAGCUUUUGCGGUUUUGGAUGGACUCGCGGCCUAUCAGCUUGUUGGUGGGGUAAUGGCCUACCAAGGCGACGACGGGUAGCCGGCCUGAGAGGGUGACCGGCCACACUGGGACUGAGACACGGCCCAGACUCCUACGGGAGGCAGCAGUGGGGAAUAUUGCACAAUGGGCGGAAGCCUGAUGCAGCGACGCCGCGUGAGGGAUGACGGCCUUCGGGUUGUAAACCUCUUUCAGUAGGGAAGAAGCUUUCGGGUGACGGUACCUGCAGAAGAAGCGCCGGCUAACUACGUGCCAGCAGCCGCGGUAAUACGUAGGGCGCAAGCGUUAUCCGGAAUUAUUGGGCGUAAAGAGCUCGUAGGCGGUUUGUCGCGUCUGCUGUGAAAGACCGGGGCUCAACUCCGGUUCUGCAGUGGGUACGGGCAGACUAGAGUGAUGUAGGGGAGACUGGAAUUCCUGGUGUAGCGGUGAAAUGCGCAGAUAUCAGGAGGAACACCGAUGGCGAAGGCAGGUCUCUGGGCAUUAACUGACGCUGAGGAGCGAAAGCAUGGGGAGCGAACAGGAUUAGAUACCCUGGUAGUCCAUGCCGUAAACGUUGGGCACUAGGUGUGGGGGACAUUCCACGUUUUCCGCGCCGUAGCUAACGCAUUAAGUGCCCCGCCUGGGGAGUACGGCCGCAAGGCUAAAACUCAAAGGAAUUGACGGGGGCCCGCACAAGCGGCGGAGCAUGCGGAUUAAUUCGAUGCAACGCGAAGAACCUUACCAAGGCUUGACAUGGACUAGUAAGACGCAGAAAUGCGUU